UCCCUGAUAGCUCAGUUGGUAAAGAAUCUGCCUGCAGUGCAGGAGACCCUGGUUUGAUUCCUGGGAUGGGAA
rnacentral:tRNA from 1 species